rnacentral:rRNA from 1 species
GACUCUCGACAACGGCUAUCUCGACUCUUUUCAUGAUGAAGAAUGUAGGGAAAUGCGAUACUUAGUGUGAAUUGCAGAAUCCCAUGAAUCAUCGAGUUUUUGAACGCAAUUUGCACCCAAGGCCUCGGUUGAGGGCACGUCUAUCUAGGUGUCG